rnacentral:tRNA from 2 species
GAUAGUUUAUUUAAAACAUUGAACUUUGACUUCAAAAAUUAGUAGUUAAUUCUACUUCUUUAAU